GACCAGACUCCUACGGGAGGCAGCAGUGGGGAAUAUUGCACAAUGGGGGAAACCCUGAUGCAGCAACGCCGCGUGAGUGAAGAAGUAUUUCGGUAUGUAAAGCUCUAUCAGCAGGGAAGAAGAAAGACGGUACCUGACUAAGAAGCCCCGACUAACUACGUGCCAGCAGCCGCGGUAAUACGUAGGGGGCAAGCGUUAUCCGGAUUCACUGGGUGUAAAGGGAGCGUAGACGGCGACGCAAGUCUGGAGUGAAAGCCCGGGGCCCAACCCCGGGACUGCUCUGGAAACUGCGUCGCUGGAGUACGGGAGGGGCAGGCGGAAUUCCUGGUGUAGCGGUGAAAUGCGUAGAUAUCAGGAGGAACACCGGCGGCGAAGGCGGCCUGCUGGACCGUGACUGACGUUGAGGCUCGAGAGCGUGGGGAGCAAACAGGAUUAGAUACCCCAGUAGAA
rnacentral:rRNA from 1 species